CCUACGGGAGGCAGCAGUGGGGGAUAUUGCACAAUGGGCGGAAGCCUGAUGCAGCGACGCCGCGUGAGCGAAGAAGGCCCUCGGGUCGUAAAGCUCUGUCAUCAAGGAAGAAAAUGACGGUACCUGAGGAUGAAGCCCCGGCUAACUACGUGCCAGCAGCCGCGGUAAUACGUAGGGGGCAAGCGUUAUCCGGAUGUACUGGGGGUAAAGGGGGCGGAGGUGGCGCUGCAGGCCAGGAGUGAAAGCCUUGGGCCCAACCCGGGGACUGCUUUUGAAACUGGGUAGCUGGAGUGCAGGAGGGGCAGGCGGAAUUCCUGGUGUAGCGGUGAAAUGCGUAGAUAUCAGGAGGAACACCGGUGGCGAAGGCGGCCUGCUGGACUGUAACUGACGCUGAGGCACGAAAGCGUGGGGAGCAAACAGGAUUAGAUACCCUUGUAGUC
rnacentral:rRNA from 1 species